CGAACGCUGGCGGCGUGCUUAACACAUGCAAGUCGAACGCGAAAUUUUUUCUUCGGAGAAAAGAGUAGAGUGGCGCACGGGUGAGUAACGCGUAAGUUAUCUACCCUCCCAUCUGGAAUAACUCACCGAAAGGUGUGCUAAUACCGGAUACGUUGAUUUAUCAAGAAAGGUGGCCUCUAUUUAUAAGCUACCGUGGGGGGAUGAGCUUGCGUACCAUUAGCUAGUUGGUAGGGUAAUGGCCUACCAAGGCAACGAUGGUUAGCGGGUCUGAGAGGAUGAUCCGCCACACUGGAACUGGAACACGGACCAGACUCCUACGGGAGGCAGCAGUGAGGAAUAUUGCGCAAUGGGGGAAACCCUGACGCAGCGACGCCGCGUGGAUGAUGAAGGCCUUUGGGUCGUAAAAUCCUGUCAGAUGGAAAGAAAUGCUACUGGUUUAAUAUGCCUUUAGUUUGACGGUACCAUCAAAGGAAGCACCGGCUAACUCC
rnacentral:rRNA from 1 species